CGGGGUCCCCGCCAGCUGCGCCAUCCACGACCGCACAGUCUUGGGCUCGGGAGCGCAGAAUGUUAGUCCCACUGAAACAAGGAGUUUCGCCUGUUUUGGUGCUUAGUAUUUGGAAUGCCUCACCCAAUUUCCCAUAGGCCGGAGCUGGCAGUCUGAGGCCAGGCUGUACACCCAACAUGAGGUUUGAACUCUA